rnacentral:rRNA from 1 species
GAUGCAGUCGAGCGGAUGAGAAGAGCUUGCUCUUCGAUUCAGCGGCGGACGGGUGAGUAAUGCCUAGGAAUCUGCCUGGUAGUGGGGGACAACGUUUCGAAAGGAACGCUAAUACCGCAUACGUCCUACGGGAGAAAGCAGGGGACCUUCGGGCCUUGCGCUAUCAGAUGAGCCUAGGUCGGAUUAGCUAGUUGGUGGGGUAAUGGCUCACCAAGGCGACGAUCCGUAACUGGUCUGAGAGGAUGAUCAGUCACACUGGAACUGAGACACGGUCCAGACUCCUACGGGAGGCAGCAGUGGGGAAUAUUGGACAAUGGGCGAAAGCCUGAUCCAGCCAUGCCGCGUGUGUGAAGAAGGUCUUCGGAUUGUAAAGCACUUUAAGUUGGGAGGAAGGGCAUUAACCUAAUACGUUAGUGUUUUGACGUUACCGACAGAAUAAGCACCGGCUAACUCUGUGCCAGCAGCCGCGGUAAUACAGAGGGUGCAAGCGUUAAUCGGAAUUACUGGGCGUAAAGCGCGCGUAGGUGGUUUGUUAAGUUGGAUGUGAAAGCCCCGGGCUCAACCUGGGAACUGCAUCCAAAACUGGCAAGCUAGAGUACGGUAGAGGGUGGUGGAAUUUCCUGUGUAGCGGUGAAAUGCGUAGAUAUAGGAAGGAACACCAGUGGCGAAGCGACCACCUGGACUGAUACUGACACUGAGGUGCGAAAGCGUGGGGAGCAAACAGGAUUAGAUACCCUGUAGUCCACGCCGUAAACGAUGUCAACUAGCCUUGGAAUCCUUGAGAUUUUAGUGGCGCAGCUAAGCAUUAAGUUGACCGCCGGGGAGUACGGCCGCAGGUUAAAACUCAAAUGAAUUGACGGGGCCCGCACAGCGGUGGACAGGUUAAUUCGAAGCAACGCAACUACCGACUGCAAAUUUCUAGAGUGGCCUUGAUCUGACUGCAGUGUCCAGCUCGGGUGUCAGACUCUCUGGACUAGGAGUCAGCCACCGGAGGAACA